rnacentral:rRNA from 1 species
UACGGGGGGAGCAAGCGUUGUUCGGAUUUACUGGGCGUAAAGGGCGCGUAGGCGGCGCGACGAGUCACUUGUGAAAUCUCCGGGCUUAACCCGGAGCGGCCAAGUGAUACUGUCGUGCUAGAGUGCGGAAGGGGCUACUGGAAUUCUCGGUGUAGCGGUGAAAUGCGUAGAUAUCGAGAGGAACACCUGCGGCGAAGGCGGGUAGCUGGGCCGACACUGACGCUGAGGCGCGAAAGCCAGGGGAGCGAACGGG